GAUAAAGAACGUAGCGAAAUGCGAUACUUGGUGUGAAUUGCAGAAUCCCGUGAACCAUCGAGUCUUUGAACGCAAGUUGCGCCCGAAGCCAUUAGGCCGAGGGCACGCCUGCCUGGGCGUCACACGUCGUUGCCCCCCCAUCUACUCCUUCGGGAUUGCGGGGGGCGGAUGAUGGCCUCCCGUGCGCCUCGUCGCGCGGUUGGCAUAAAUGCCAAGUCCUCGGCGACGCACGCCACGACAAUCGGUGGUUGCGAAACCUCGGUUGCCCGUCGUGUGCGGUCGUCGCGCAUCGAGGGCUCGAAAAAAUUGUCGGGCUCCGGCUCGGCUUUCAACGCGACCCCAGGUCAGGCGGGGUUACCCGCUGAAUUUAAGCAUAUCAAUAAGCGGAGGA
rnacentral:misc_RNA from 1 species